UAAAACUACAAAUAUAAAAAUUAAAUUUCUAAAAAAUUGCAAAACAAAAAAUAUACCCGCCCUUUUAAGGGCGGGUCAUAAUCUAGUAAGAGGUUAAAUUGGAAGGUAACUGAAAUAGAAGAAGCCGAGGAAGCAUAUAUCAAAAAAAAAAGAGCCAGGAAAGCUCCAAAGAGAAGCCCUUGUCAACAUCGGAGGAAAUGGUGAGACACGGAACCAACAGCCAACGGUGUCACCAGAGAAGAGCGAUUGUCGUUAAGCCAAAAACCAGCCAGGUGGUGUUGGAGAAACCAUUGACUCCCGAGCGUCAAAGAUGGAAGAAAUCGGCGAUAAAAUCCUCUCUUUCUGAAUGGUUUUUAGAAACAAGAGAGAGAGAGGGACCCCCAAUGUUAUCAGAUGAAUUCCCCUUGAGAGGAUCAUAGUAUUAGUGAGGCUAUAUAAAGCCAAGUGUGUUACAGAAAUCUCGGACUUACAGUUAUGAUCUAAACAAAAGAAGUACAGCAGAAUUAAGAAUAUUCUCCUAUAUUCUUUCACCCAAUGGUUCAGUGCUCACCACAUUACUUUUUAUUGUAAGCUUCAAAAUAAGUCUUUUUAUAAAAAAAAGAGCUUAAAAAUAAGGAACUAGGAUUUAUAAAGUAUUGUAUAAGCAUUAGACAAAAAAGUGUUGUAUAUACUAGAACUAGGAUUUAUUAUUUGUAAAGUAUUUUUUUGAAUACAUCUAAAUGAAAUACAACUUCUUAUUUUUGAAAUCAACACAAUAAUUAGGCUUGGUUCUCUCCAGAGUAUGACACCUCAGAUUUUAAAAUGGUUGUGGGAUUGACAUGUCAUCAAAUGAAAAAAAGUUGAGUAACCAAUCUAAUUAUUUUGUAAGUACACGUCAGUUUCACUCAGCCAUAAUAAGAAAAGAAAAAUUAGGAAGAUUACCUAUCUCUUCUCCUCCUCCUCCUCCUCUUCCUCUGUCUCCUCCUCUCCUUACUCAAUUUUUCUCAGACAUGGGCUGGUCAAACCCCAACCCUUGCAAAUGGGACACCGUCCAAUGAGACGGGAGCAGCUGCGUCACGAGGAACCAGCUCAGACAUAAGGGGAUCCGCGGCACUUUCCCUCCGGAUGUCCAUAAACUCUCCGAGCUUGUCGUCCUCGAGACUCACGUCAGACGGUCAGAGAAGACAGAGCAGCGGCGUCGGGGAAGACAGAGCAGCGGGGUUGGAGCCGAGCUCAUCGUCCUCGAGACUCACGUCAGACGUCGGAGAAGACAGAGCAGCGGAGUCGGAGCCGAGCUCGUCGUCCUCGAGACUCAUCAGACAGACGUCGGAGAAGACAGUGCAGCGGCGUCGGCGAAGAAGAAGAGCAGCGGCGGCGUCGGCGAAGAAGAGCAGCAGCGUCGGAGAUGGUACUGAAGCGGGGCUGGUUGACGGCGUAGGUUGAAGAAGGCUUUGUUUGACAGCUGAAUUAGGUUUAAUCAAUUGGUUAAACCAAUUUGUAAUGGUAACCAAUUUUUAAUUGUAAACCAUGUAUCCAAAUUUCAUAUCGUAAAGAAAUACCAAUUUAUAAUCUGAU
rnacentral:lncRNA from 1 species